UCCCUUGGAAAAGGGCAGCAUAGAGGGUGAUACUCCCGUCUUUGCCCAGGUUGUCUAUGUGUACGAUACGUUUUCUUUGAGUCGAGUUGUUUGGGAAUGCAGCUCAAAGUAGGUGGUAAAUUCCAUCUAAAGCUAAAUAUUGGUGCAAGACCGAUAGCGAACAAGUACCGUGAGGGAAAGAUGAAAAGAACUUUGAAAAGAGAGUUAAAGAGUACCUGAAACUGUUGAAAGGGAACCGUAACAUGUCCAGUGUUGUAUCUCUUAUAUAUUUCAUUAGUACAGUAAUGCACUGGUGCCCUGUAUAAGAGUGUGACGUCAAAGUCAGUUUGUAUAUCGCGGGAGAUGGUUAGUAAGGAGGUGCGUCACUUUUGUGUCAGUUAUACCUUAUUAUCUAGUAGCCGUGGUUGAGACUGAGGUGCCUACAACAUGCUUUUCAAGUCUAUGUUUGUCUCGUUGUUCUAUUUGUUUGGAUAGCUUGCUAUGCUAAUGAACUAGAGUAGCGAUUGAUAGAUAUAGUAACUUGUUGCUGUUCGGGACUUUGACGAAAUGGUAUGUUACGACCCGUCUUGAAACACGGACCAAGGAGUCUAACAUGUAUGCAAGUAUUAGGGUGUGGAAACCCAAAUGCGUAAUGAAAGUAAAUGCUACCUGUGUAGCUUUGGUAGGAAAGGGCUGUCAUGGUCCUGGCACUAUCGACCGAUCAUGAACCUACGGGUGAAAGAUUUGAGUAUGAGCAUAUAUGUUGGUACCCGAAAGAUGGUGAACUAUGCCUGAAUAGAGUGAAGCCAGGGGAAACUCUGGUGGAAGCUCGUAGCGAUUCUGACGUGCAAAUCGAUCGUCAAAUUUGGGUAUAGGGGCGAAAGACUAAUCGAACCAUCUAGUAGCUGGUUCCCUCCGAAAUUUCCCUCAGGAUAG
rnacentral:rRNA from 1 species